GCGGACGUGGUGCAUGGCGCACCGCUGCAUUCUGUAAUUGAUGAUUUUGAGCAUGCAAGCAGUAACACGGGGUUCGACUCCCCGCGUCCGCA